GACGAACGCUGGCGGCGUGCUUAACACAUGCAAGUCGAACGAAGUGGCGAACGGGUGAGUAAUACGUGGGUAACCUGCCCUCCUUUUUGGGAUAAGCCUUGGUAACGGGGUCUAAUACCUAAUAAAGGGGGAUGGGUUCGCGGCUAGUCAGCUUGUUGGUGGGGUGAUGGCCUAACAAGGCGGUGACGGGUCGCCGGCCUGAGAGGGUAACCGGCAACUGUGGCACUGUUAUACGGCCCAGGUUACGACGGGGUGCAGCAUAGGGGUCUAUUGCACAAUGGGCGACAGAGUGAUGCAGCGUCUCCGCGUGGGGGAUGAAGGCUUUAGAGUUGUAAAACUCGUUAGCAAGCGAACGGUUAGGUGGAGAAGAAGCGCCGGCUAACUACGUGCCAGCAGCCGCGGUAAUUC
rnacentral:rRNA from 1 species